GGGGCUGUAGCAUAAUGGCUAAUGUGGCUACCCUUAUCAAGUCGCAAAUCCGGGUUCGAUUCCCGGCAGCUCCA
rnacentral:tRNA from 2 species